UGGGCCGGCCAUAGCGGCCGGGCAACACCCGGUCUCGUCAGAUCCCGGAAGUUAAGCCGGCCGCGUUGGGGCUUCCGUGAGCGCCGAGAGGGCUCGCAGGGACCCCAAGCCGGUGCCA
rnacentral:rRNA from 2 species